AUGGAUCAUCAAACCAAGUUUGCCGUGCAGAAGAUUGUCGUCUCGCUCCAUUCAUCGCAAGACAUCUUGGAGAAUAUCCUGGACAGAGCUUCUGAGGAGAAAGCAGUAAGGAUUUCUGACCGAUCGAGGCUCGAUCCCAAGGAUGGACUGGGAUUCCUGGAAUUGGAGGCUCAUCACAUCCAUGAUCUGGCCAAGGAGGUGGAGAUCAGGAUCUCAGAGUGCAGGGAGAAGGAAAGGAAGGAGAAGAGCAGGAUGGAGAGUAUGAUAUCAAGCCUAAAGAAGGAGAACCAGGAUAUUAGGAGCAUGUUGGAAGUUGCUGUAACUGAGAAGGAGGCAGCGGAGAAUAGCCUUCGUGUGUUGAAGGGCGAUGGCGAUCAGAGAAGAAGUUCAAUCCUGCAGAUUGCUGAGAAGGGGUUGCAGAAGGUUGGCUUUGGCUUCAUCAUGGAGGUGAUAAGUGGAGAAUCAGAAGGAGAUGAGAUGAGCAGCUCCAGUGCCAGUGCAGCAUCUAAUGGAAGAGAAAGUAAACAAGAGGUUGACAGUCUGGCUUCAAUAGUUGGUAAGAUACUGAAAAACCUGCAUCAUGAGAUCAAUGACCUCAGACAGGCCUUAGACGAGUCCAGGUCAGACUGCGAUCAUUUGCAACUUCUCGCUGCUCAACAGGCUCAGAAGAUAAUCAAAUAUGAGUCGCACAUACAGGAUCUGAGAGAACGGGAAAUUCUCCUACUUCAAAGUGUGGAAGAGCUCAAUGUCAGGGUAAAGGAAGUAGAACAGGAAGCUGCACGAUGGAAAGAGGCAUGA
rnacentral:rRNA from 1 species